UUUGGGUCCAAGAUGACCUCGCGCCUAUUCAGUUGGUUGGUGGGGUAAUGCCCUACCAAGGCUUGGACGGGUACCCGCCUUAAGAGGGUGUAGGGCCCCAUGGGGAUUGAGAUCCGGCCCAGAUUCUUACGGGAGGCACCAGUGGGGAAUAUUCCCCAAUGGGCGGAACCCUAAUCCAGCAACCCCGCGUGGGGAAUGAAGCCUUUCGGGUGGUAAAUUCCUUUCGCCAGGGAGGAAGCGUAAGUGCCGGUCCCUGUAUAAGAAGCCCGGCCUAAUUAGGUGCCACCAGCCGCGGUAAUACGUAGGGUGCAAGCGUUUUCCGGAAUUCCUGGGGGUAAAGAGUUGGUAGGUGUUUGUCGCGUCGUCUGUGAAAUUCCGGGGCUUAACUCCGGGCGUGCAGGCGAUACGGGCUGACUUGAGUGCUGUAGGGGAGACUGGAAUUCCUGGUGUAGCGGUGAAAUGCGCAGAUAUCAGGAGGAACACCGAUGGCGAAGGCAGGUCUCUGGGCAGUAACUGACGCUGAGGAGCGAAAGCAUGGGUAGCGAACAGGAUUAGACACCCUGGUGGUCCAUGCCGUAAACGGUGGGCGCUAGGUGUAGGGGGCUUCCACGUCUUCUGUGCCGUAGCUAACGCAUUAAGCGCCCCACGUGGGGAGUACGGCCGCAAGGCUA
rnacentral:rRNA from 1 species